GUUCUUGGGUUGAAGAACUUUAGAAUGCCUCCAUUUGUGAGUCAUUGGCAACACUAUGGAAUGGUGAGGCUGGGUGGUUAUUUCUCCAUCAGGGAUGGCCUUGUAUCCACGGUAGUAACGACUGAGGUCCUCUGUGAGAAAGCCUGCAGCCUAGAGAUACCUCCCAACUGACAAGCCAAGAAACAAGGGGAAGAGAGAAAACUGGAAGAAAUUGACUAGCAUCUGUGAACUCACUUUUUUUUUUUCUGGAGCUGAGGACCGAACCCAGGGCCUUGUGCUUGCUAGGCAAGUCCUUUACCACUGAGCCAAGUCCCGAAACCCACCAUCUGUGAACUCUUACUGGCCAGAGGCUCAUGGAUGGCAUCUGUACUCAGAUAAUCAACUUUAAUGCUUACAAUGAUUUGGAGAGGCAACAAAUGUUGUCAUUUUAAAACUCCAAAGCCUGGAGUUCAGAAAGUUCCUUUAGUUUUCCAGUUUUAAAAGCAGAGGCAAAUUUCUGAGGUACACAUGCAAACACAAUGUUGUACUGCUUUGCCCAUCUCCCAUAAUGCUUUCACACAAAUCAGGAAAGAGAAGAUGCAAGUGGAACAGAGUCUCCUUGGAGCAUGCCCUUAGAAUCUUAUUGAUGAGAGGAAGUCAUGAGGCCACACUUACUAAAAAUUAAUUUCAUUUUCAGUUCAGGCAUGUCAAAGAAAAAGACCUAGGUCCUGCUAUUGUUACACAUGUAGAAUGUAGGUUAUCACACUGUAAUGAAAAACCUUGGCCAUAUUUAGCCGGCCAGAUUUUUAUUUCCCAAGGCCAUGAUAAGGGAGAUGACUGAGAUGUAGUUUGCAUAAUUAUGAAGAAACUAUGUUAGCAAAAGAAUGUGGGAAGCUUCUGUUGCUAAGAAAAUCAAUUCUCCCGUCCAAAUGAGGAUGCCAGGUUUAUAUCUCAAGAGUACUUCCCAACAAAUCUCCAGUCUAGUGUCUCAUCCUGAAGCAUGUCUUGGAGAAACUCAGCCAAAGACACAGGGUUACCAAGAGAGUCUCUAAAGAUGUAAGAAUUCUAUCCAGAAAGAGAGGACUGCAACCUAAAUAUAAAAAAGAAACUGAACUAAGAAAUGAAAAGUAAUUAAAAUGAUGACCAAGAUACAGGUAGAAUCAAGUGGUUGGGAGAUCCUGCCAGGAGCAAAGAGAAGACAAACUUUUACAUCCAUAUUAACACAUCUGCUUAUGUAACCUUUGUGUCCAUAGCAUCGUUUGGCUUCUGGAAGUUCUCUAUAGAGUGCUCUAAUAAACCUUCACCUUGAGGA